UGCACCUCUCUCAAAAUGUUCUCCAGGUGUCUCAUUUUCCCAUCUGUGAUUCCAUGAUUGUUUCCAACAGAAAGCUUCAAAUCAUCCACAGAAUUCUCAAGGCGGAAGGUUCUGCUCUCCAGUUGUGUCAGUUGUGCACUGACACCUUCCAGAAUAUGUACCAAAUUAUCAGCAUAUUUCUUCAUUGAUUUAUCAAUGACAGACACUAUUGCUACAUCAGAAGCAUUUUG
rnacentral:misc_RNA from 1 species